UUAAUCAUGAUCUUAAAAAACUCAAGUGUGGAAGCUGCUAGAGUAGUUAAUGAGAGAGGGAAGGAUUAGAGAUCAGUGAGGAAGAGAAGUGUAUCUUGCAUCGUCCUCAGUAACAAAAGCAAUUGCUACGAGAGACAGCUCGAAUCAUGACAUUAGAGGCUUAGAAAGAAAACUAAUUUCUCAUCCAAAUGAUGUGACUUGCUGGAGACCAUGCGCUUGUGAUUCUGAGUGCUCUGAUGGUUGGUUUUGUACAUUGUGCGAAUGGGAUAUUCUUUUUCGCCAGAAGACGUGUUCUGCUAGCUCCUUCACAUUCUAGAUAGCAGGUCGAAUGUGGCUUUGAUUAUAUUUCUUUUACUAUUGUUCUCGUCGUAUAAAUUUGUGCCUGUUUGAACAAAUAUUGGAAAGUCUUGCAAUGGUAAUGGCCUGAUCCUUGUCACUAAA